rnacentral:rRNA from 1 species
GACGAACGCUGGCGGCGUGCUUAACACAUGCAAGUCGAACGGAGAGGCCCUGCUUUUGUGGGGUGCUCGAGUGGCGAACGGGUGAGUAACACGUGAGUAACCUGCCCUUGACUUUGGGAUAACUUCAGGAAACUGGGGCUAAUACCGGAUAGGAGCUCCUGCUGCAUGGUGGGGGUUGGAAAGUUUCGGCGGUUGGGGAUGGACUCGCGGCUUAUCAGCUUGUUGGUGGGGUAGUGGCUUACCAAGGCUUUGACGGGUAGCCGGCCUGAGAGGGUGACCGGCCACAUUGGGACUGAGAUACGGCCCAGACUCCUACGGGAGGCAGCAGUGGGGAAUAUUGCACAAUGGGCGGAAGCCUGAUGCAGCAACGCCGCGUGCGGGAUGACGGCCUUCGGGUUGUAAACCGCUUUCGCCUGUGACGAAGCGUGAGUGACGGUAAUGGGUAAAGAAGCACCGGCUAACUACGUGCCAGCAGCCGCGGUGAUACGUAGGGUGCGAGCGUUGUCCGGAUUUAUUGGGCGUAAAGGGCUCGUAGGUGGUUGAUCGCGUCGGAAGUGUAAUCUUGGGGCUUAACCCUGAGCGUGCUUUCGAUACGGGUUGACUUGAGGAAGGUAGGGGAGAAUGGAAUUCCUGGUGGAGCGGUGGAAUGCGCAGAUAUCAGGAGGAACACCAGUGGCGAAGGCGGUUCUCUGGGCCUUUCCUGACGCUGAGGAGCGAAAGCGUGGGGAGCGAACAGGCUUAGAUACCUUGGUAGUCCACGCUGUAAACGGUGGGUACUAGGUGUGGGGUCCAUUCCACGGGUUCCGUGCCGUAGCUAACGCUUUAAGUACCCCGCCUGGGGAGUACGGCCGCAAGGCUAAAACUCAAAGGAAUUGACGGGGCCCCGCACAAGCGGCGGAGCAUGCGGAUUAAUUCGAUGCAACGCGUAGAACCUUACCUGGGUUUGACAUGGAUCGGGAGUGCUCAGAGAUGGGUGUGCCUCUUUUGGGGUCGGUUCACAGGUGGUGCAUGGCUGUCGUCAGCUCGUGUCGUGAGAUGUUGGGUUAAGUCCCGCAACGAGCGCAACCCUUGUUCACUGUUGCCAGCACGUUAUGGUGGGGACUCAGUGGAGACCGCCGGGGUCAACUCGGAGGAAGGUGGGGAUGACGUCAAGUCAUCAUGCCCCUUAUGUCCGGGGCUUCACGCAUGCUACAAUGGCUGGUACAGAGAGUGGCGAGCCUGUGAGGGUGAGCGAAUCUCGGAAAGCCGGUCUCAGUUCGGAUUGGGGUCUGCAACUCGACCUCAUGAAGUCGGAGUCGCUAGUAAUCGCAGAUCAGCAACGCUGCGGUGAAUACGUUCCCGGG